ACAGGCCGCCGUGGCCUCGCACCGCUGUGGGCUUCUGCUGAUGACGCAGCAGAGGUUUUUCCGCCUGGCGGUGUUCGGCCCCUCUGGCUUCACCGGCCAGCUCAUGACAGAGCAGGUGUCCCGGAGCGGACCUCCGACCUGCCGUGGGCCGCGCCGGCCGCUCCCCCGGAGAAGCUGCGGCGAGUGCCGGAGAGGCUGCCGUGAAGCCAGGAAGACCAACACUGUCAUCUGAAGUUGGAAUAAUAAUCUGUGAUAUCACUAAUCCAGCCUCACUUGAUGAAAUGGCUACACCGGCAACAGUUGUCCUCAAUUGUGUAGGACCCGAACUGGAGGAAAAAAAACUUUUGAGAGAAAGAUGAUGAAUCUGAUUUUGGACAUGCUGAAACUGAGGUGUCUGCCAGAUAUUUUUGAAUGAAGACAGGAAAUACGUACAAAAUAGUGGAAUUAUUUUUUUAAGUAAGUGAGGAAACCUGGCUGAAGAGGAAAUAGUGGAGGGAAAAUGAAGCCAAAGUGAAACUGGUUUUGCCCCAGGUCCUGUGCUCUGUGGGUCCUGACUUUUGUAACAGAGGCCACAGAUACGGCACCUUCAUCCCUGUGCAGCUCUGGAGAGAGAAGCCAGAAGUCAUCAGCGUGAUGCAGCUGGAGUCAGGACAGCAGGUACAUUGACUGUUAUGGAAAGUUUCCUGACCUUACAUUCAGGACCUGAGAUUACUCAGAAGUAUCAACUUCAUGAAGUCAUUGCCUAACUAUUAGAAAAGAAAGGAGAUAUUCAUGGUGUCUUUUUAAUAAUGCUAGAGAUUACCCGGAAGUAUCAACUUCAUGAAGUCACUGCCUUUCUAUUAGAAAAGAAAGGGGAGGUUCAUGGUGCCUUCUUAACCAGGAGGCCACCCACGCCCAGCUCCUGCUGUGCCUAGAAGACCUGUCAGGAAGGAUGCCAGGAGGGAACUGCAGAACAGUGACCGACCUUGGGUCACUGCUGGGCCAAGGCAGCAAGAAGCAACGAGUCCCUGUGGGCAGGAGGCCGGCAUGUGCACGGACAGCAGAGCAGAGGUGCUGGCACCAGGAGGCCAGCCGCUGCUGGCAGCCCCAGGCCGGCGUCCAGGCCCUGGAUGUUAGGAGCCACUGCUUCCCUCUUGGUCAUCUGAAGCCCUCUUUUUCUCCUGCCUCGGCUCAGAGUCCCUGUGACCUGGCCCCAGCCUUGCCUCUGGAUCCUGGCAUGCCGAGGAUUGGCCCGUGCCUUCCUGCCCAGCCCGUGGAACCCUGGCAGCCCCUCCAGCUAGGAUGAGGGGCCAGGCACUGCCCCAGGCACCCAUUGGAUUUUCCAUCCCCUGCUGUUGCUGCUGCUGGGGCACCAGGAGCGUGUGUCCUUGGGGGCAGACGUGGUUCCUGGGGCUGAGCCAUGUCCCACGCUGAUGCUGGGCAAGUUCUUGGGGUACUUCUUGGCAACUGCUGAGUUCCUUGCCAGCAUCUCAUGCUGCUCCUGGAUGCUGCGCAACCCAGACCCGCACCACCGCAAGCUCUACAUGAGGGUGGCCGAGGCACCACCUGCAGCAGCCCCGCCCGCAUCCGCACCUACCAGUUUGACUCCUUUGUGGAGUCCACACGCACCUACCUGGGCAGGGAGAGCUGUGACGAGGUGCUGAGGCUCUGUGACCCUUUGGGGCCCCUGGCCUUCCUGCAGGCCAGCAAGCAGUUCCUGCAGAUAAAGGGACAGCAGCCACCCCAGGACAGUGUCUGCAGGCCCCAGAGUGGGGCCCUCCUACUCCAGCAAUGACUUCUCCGUGGAGCACCUGGUCACGGGCAACGGCAGCUCCAGUGACAUGGCUGGUGGCCCUGAGAACUGCCUCACUAGCCUGACCCAGGACCAGGGCGGGGAUGCACUCCAGCCCUCCCCUACAUGGACUCUUGAAAAGCGUCUUGUUGUUGGGAGCUCUUCCUCCACCGUAUGAAGAAGGCCGGGCUCGCUUGCUGAAGAGAUGAGGAUCCACCUAGAGCCAGCACUAGCCAACAGACACAUGAGUCAGCCCCAGCUGAGCUGCCCAUUGACUGCAGGUGCAGAAGUGACCUUAGUUGAGACGCAGACUGCCCAGUAUUUUCUCAGCUCUGCUAAGGAAUCGAUCCCAGACAUCUGGCUGGUUCUGUGAUGUGUAGGUCUACUGCUUUAUCAGUGCCAUCCUACAGAGACGCUGAGAAGUCUCCUUUCAUACACAGACCAGCGCCUAGAGGACAUCACUGGGAAUGUGCACAGGUUUGGUUCCGAGAGAGGAGGAGAGCUCACGGGCAAUCUUCACAGACAAGCUGCAUGUGCAGGAAGCAGGACACGAGGCAAUGGACACGGGGAAAACGCACACUGGGAGCAGCUCUGCAAAACUGAUUCUGGCAGACUGGGGAGAAACAACAAUGAAAAAAUUCUAAUUUCAUCUUUCUGGACUGGCACAUGACUUGGGUACCUCUCUACAUAUUUGGAAAAGAGCUCGGCCUAGAUUUCUAGUUGAAAUGAAAAAAAAAAGUUCUUAAAAAAAAAGAGCUAGUUAGUAUUUUAGUAUUUAUACAAAAAUACUAUUAAAAAAGAAUAUAAUAAAGUGGCAGAUAAUGGAACACUCUAGGAAACAAAACAGCUUUUCAAGAAUGAUGAAAGGUGUUACUUAAUGUAUUAUGGGAAACAUGACUUAAAGCAAUCAUUUUUACAAAACAAAAGUACAACAAAGACAAACAAGAGUUUCAGAAAUAUAUGGGAAGCCUACAGAAAGAUGAGUCGGCAAACUACAGAAAAUAAAUAGAAAAGUAAAAGUAAUCAGAGCAAAAAAGGUGAAAUGGAAGUAGCACAAACAACACAAAGGCUAGACAGCACUGAGAUCACAUUAAAUUAUACUGAAGGGUACAGAGACCGUGAGCGACUCAAAACAAGCAAAUGGAAUGGAAGUGAGCAAGAGUUCAAAAGAAUGAGAGAGAAAAUUAUAAAUCAAAUAAACAUCAUCUUCAAGUUGCUUCUGCCCCUUUAAUAGAAAAGAACAAAUCUGACUCCAUACUAGAUCUGUUCCUCUGGCUUUAACUCUGUGCCCUGUUUUCCACGCUCAGUCUGGCCAGCUCUGCACCUUUUGUGAAACAAUGUUGCCUUUAGCCUGAAAUAGACAGGGGAGCCUGUUCUCAAGGCUCUGACCAUUAAGGAUAUUAACACUUUUGCACUCCUACAAAGAUAACAAGUUGCAGAAUAGAAAAUCACAUUUGUUUUGUUGGAGGUUUACAGGGAUCUGACCCAGGUGAAGAGCUGCAAAAACAAAGGAUUCUAACAACAAAGAAUACCUACACCAAGAAGUCUGCAACAACCAGGCAUUCCCUCUUCCCCUUUUUAAUAUAAAAGGAGCCUGAAUUCUGACUUGGGGAAGAUGGAUCUCCAGAACAUUAGUUGGCCAUCUUCUUGGUCAGCUGGCUUUCUGAAUAAAGCUGCCAUUCCUUGCCCCAAAACCUGGUCUCCCGAUUUACUGGCCUGUCAUGCAGUGAGCAAAACGAGUAUGGACUCGGUAACACAAACAUACAUUGAAAGUAUCCAUUUGGUGUAUUUAAUGAUUUGCUUCCACUGGUCUUUCUUCCUGAAUUUUCCUUUUCUUGCCUACUCCUGCUGUUUAUGAAAAAUCUGUCAGCUGCUCAUGUAGACACAUUUCCAUCUCGAGCCAUUACCCUUCCAGUUUCCAGAGGUCACCCACAUUCCUUAGCUUGUGCCGCACGACUUCCUCCAUCUUCAUGGCCAGCAACCUUUUUGAACACUGCUCCAUGGCUACACCUCCCUCUGACCCUAAACUCGGCUGGGAAAUGUCCUUCGCUUUUAAGGAUCCCUGUGGUUACAAUGGGCCCACCUGGACAAUCCAGGCUACUCACCCUAUCACCUCAUCUCAGGAUCCCCUUUUCACACCCCACUCAGGCAUUAUGAAUGCUGCUGUGACACUCACCUUGGGUAAUGUUUCCUCUCGUGAGCAAUUUAACAUUCAAGACACUGAACAGCUUUUUGUUUUUCUUCCUUAGUUUUUCCACAUUCAGUACGUCGGUGAGAUUGUAUGAAUCCUGUUUAUUUGU